rnacentral:rRNA from 1 species
AUGGCUGCUGCGUCCUUCGCUACCUACCUCGAGACGCCUAGAGAGCUCCGGGUGCUGGGGUUCCGGGCGCCGCCCCCGUCUCCGGUCACCGGCGUUCUAUCCAACGGUGGCUCUGGAUCCCCUGAGUACGGCGAGUGCCCCGACGGCAACGAAGAUGACGAGGUCGGCAGGUUCCUGCGUCGCUCCGCCAGGGUCCUGGUGCUGCGGCUGCCCGAGAGGGCCAUCCCACGGAAGAAGAAGAAGAAGAGUGAUAAGGCGGUGUGGGCUCCCCCAGUCAUCGACAUGCGCCUGCUGGCCUCGCUGGGUGGGCCGGCGGUGGAGGCUCUGAGGUCGGCGGCCGUCGCGCUUGGCUGCUUCCAGGUGGUUGGGCAUGGGGUCAAUGAGUGCUUGGUCUCAGCUGCGGCGGGGAGGGCGAGUUCGCCUACGCCGGAGGAGGCCGGUGGAGAAGAUGGUGAGGAGCUGUGGUGGUCACCGAGCGAAGGAGACCAGUUGAGGUGCCAACUUGCCCAUUUCAUUGGAAGGCAACUAAUCAAAGGACUCUAUAUGAUGCUAACCCCUGGUUUUGCUGUGUCCAGGAAGGGAGCAGACGAUCUGUUCACCCAGCUGGAGCAAACCGCAGCCAAACUCAUGGACGCCCUGCGGCGGGACAGCGUUGGCGCCACCGAUUCCCUGGCCGGAGCUGACACGAACCGCUCGCAACUCUGCAUCCGCACGCACCACCGCCGGCAGUGCGAUGGCGGCAGCGGCUCUGUUGGCCCCAUCACUAUCAGCGAGGACGACAUGCUCAGGAUGCUGAUCAAGAGCUCACGCCGCCCACGGGCUCUCGCUCUCCACCUCUGCCCCGGCGCCUCCACGUUCCACGUCUUCUCCCGGCAGCGGGGAUGGUCCAGGUUCCGCCCCCUCGGCGGCGCCGUCGUGGUCACCGUCGGAGACCAGCUUCAGGCAUGGAGCAGUGGACUCUACAAGAGCGUGGCCGGGAAACCGGCUUACAGCAACGACGAUCUCGGAGCAGACCGCGGCUGUGAUGUCGUCAUCUCGGCGGAGUACCUCCACUCCUGCUCUUCGGCUGGCAUGGAGAACGAGCCCCCGGACGCGGAUGCCGGGAAGAUCAUUCAGUUGAAUGUGCAGAUCAUUGUAGCAGCUUGCCUUGUACUCCUUUACGGCAAAAACAACAUAUUUGACAUGUGA